rnacentral:rRNA from 1 species
AUUGAACGCUGGCGGCAUGCCUUACACAUGCCAGUCGAACGGUAACGGGCCUUCGGGUGCCGACGAGUGGCGAACGGGUGAGUAAUACAUCGGAACGUGCCCGAUCGUGGGGGAUAACGAGGCGAAAGCUUUGCUAAUACCGCAUACGAUCUACGGAUGAAAGCAGGGGACCGCAAGGCCUUGCGCGGACGGAGCGGCCGAUGGCAGAUUAGGUAGUUGGUGGGAUAAAAGCUUACCAAGCCGACGAUCUGUAGCUGGUCUGAGAGGAUGAUCAGCCACACUGGGACUGAGACACGGCCCAGACUCCUACGGGAGGCAGCAGUGGGGAAUUUUGGACAAUGGGCGCAAGCCUGAUCCAGCCAUGCCGCGUGCAGAAUGAAGGCCUUCGGGUUGUAAACUGCUUUUGUACGGAACGAAAAGCCUUCUUUUAAUACAGGAGGGUCAUGACGGUACCGUAAGAAUAAGCACCGGCUAACUACGUG